rnacentral:lncRNA from 1 species
AACGGCGAAACUGUAGAAACAGCUGGACGUGAAAUGGAUGGGCCCAUCAACACUAAGUCUGUCGUCCUCUUGUAAGGGUGGCACAAGCGCAAUAAAGUGGUCAGCUUUUUCUUCAUAAUCAUCCCGAAGCUCAGCCGCGGUAAAUAGUUUUUUAUAAUACUCUUCGAAUGCGGCUCUUAUUUGACAUGUCUCUGUGCAAAGAGAACCACGUGAUUCAAUUUGCAAUAUCUGUUUAGAAA